UACAGAGGAUGCAAGCGUUAUCCGGAAUGAUUGGGCGUAAAGCGUCCGUAGGUGGUUAGUCAAGUCUGUGGUUAAAGCGCGAAGCUCAACUUCGUAAAGGCCAUGGAAACUGACAGACUAGAGUUAAGUAGGGGUAGAGGGAAUUCCCAGUGUAGCGGUGAAAUGCGUAGAGAUUGGGAAGAACACCGGUGGCGAAAGCGCUCUACUGGACUUAUACUGACACUGAGGGACGAAAGCUAGGGGAGCGAAAGGG
rnacentral:rRNA from 1 species